rnacentral:lncRNA from 1 species
AUGGGGAGCUUGGGACUAGAAAGACUCAUGUGGAGGUCGAUGUUAGGCGACGUGAGCAAAGAGGAGCUCGUGUAUGUCCAGGUACAGCAGAAGUCGAGUCACGGAGGCGACGGCGGUGGAGAGGAGCUUGAGCUCCGGGAUGGCGCGCGGGCAUCGGAGUCGACGUCGAGCGGGGGGAGACACGGCAGAGGUCAAGGCCGGGGAUGGCGCGCCGGCAUGGGACUAUGGGAGAGUUCG